GUCUCUCUAGCCCAGUCCACCUUCAGUAAAGUUCUCAAAGAAGUAACUGAAACUUUUGAAACUUUGUUGUGCUCAAGGUGGAUAAAUGCAUCAAUGGACAUCGAUGAAAGAAGACGCAUUUCACGUGCAUUAUACAUAAAGCAUGGUAUUCCCAGUGUUAUAGGGUGUCUUGAUGGAACACAUGUUCGCAUCAUCGCACCCUCUGAAAAUAAGCACCUAUACUACAAUAGAAAGGGAUACUACAGCCUAAAUGUGAUGCUGAUGUGUGACCACGAGCUUAGGAUUCGAUACGUUGAUGCCUCCCAUCCUGGUGCCUCUCAUGACUCCUUUAUUUGGAAUGGCAGUGAGUUGAGAACGCAUCUCACACAGCUCAGUACUUGCGAGGUGAAGGCAAUUUUUGGCUGCUAGGAGACGCCGGAUACCCUUUAAAACCAUGGCUUCUGACACCAUAUCGAAGCCCAGAAGAUGGCUCCAACCAAAUGAAAUUUAAUGAUGCCCAUUCAAAAUGUCGGAACUUAAUUGAACGAGUCAAUGGAGUGCUAAAAACUCGAUGGAGGUGUCUCCUUGGAGCAAGAGAACUGCAUUAUACUCCCAGAAAAGCAGCUCAGAUAGUCAAUGUAUGUUGUGCGUUACAUAAUAUAUGCAUACAUUUUAAGUCAUAUACAGACAUGAGCGAAAUAAACUCACCAGAGCAGAUAAACCAAAUGAGUGAGAAUACAGAUGUUACCUCUUUAACAUCGCCCCUGUAUUUGGCUGCAGCACAAACCACAAGAAACCGAAUUGCGAGCUCCCUUUAAAUUUUAUGUUACAAAAGCAAAAAACAUUUAUUUUCAUAUUUAAUUUUUAUAAGGAUAUAUAUUAAUUUCAUAUUCGUAUUCAGUGUUUUACAAAGGGAUAAAUG